UACGGGGGGGGCAAGCGUUGUUCGGAAUUACUGGGCGUAAAGGGCUCGUAGGCGGCCAACUCAGUCGGACGUGAAAUCCCUCGGCUUAACCGGGGAACUGCGUCCGAUACUGGAUGGCUUGAGUGUGGGAGAGGGAUGCGGAAUUCCAGGUGUAGCGGUGAAAUGCGUAGAUAUCUGGAGGAACACCGGUGGCGAAGGCGGCAUCCGUGGACUACGUACUGACGCUGAGGAGCGAAAGCCAGGGGAAGCCAAAGCGGG
rnacentral:rRNA from 1 species